GUCCAGGGAUGGGAAUCGAACCCACAGUAUUCCGCUUACCUGACAGAAACCAUGUUCACUAGGCUACCCUGGA
rnacentral:tRNA from 1 species